rnacentral:rRNA from 1 species
ACGUAAUAGAUACCCGGGUAGUCCUGGCCGUAAACGAUGACCACUAGAUGCGGGAGGUAUCGACCCCUCCGUGUCGCAGCUCACGCGCUAAGUGGUCCGCCUGGGGAGGUACGGUCGCAAGACUAAAACUACAAGAAUUGACGGAGACCCGCACAAGCAGCGGAGCGUGUGGUUUAAUUACGAAGCAACGCGAAGCACCUUACCAGGGCGUUGACAUGCUCCUGCACCAGCGGUAACCCGCUGUCUCCCGCAAGGGAGCGGGAGCACAGGUGCUGCAUGGCUGUCGUCAGCUCGUGUCGUGAGAUGUUGGGUUUAAGUCCCGCAACGAGCGCAACCCCUACUGCUAGUUGAAUCUCUCUAGCGGAACUGCCGCACAAACGCGGAGGAAGGUGGGGAUGACGUCAAGUCAGCAUGG